UUGCGAGUUCGCAAAGGCCCGCUGUAGAGAAGUAAUCCAUCCGUACCAGCAUCCCGUGGCCUUGAAUCUCGCUUACGAGGGCGAAUGUACCGGCGUUCCAACAACAUUCACCGCCACUGAAAAACCAGCAUCGGAUCAGACGACACACGAAAACUUGCCGAUGACAACGAUAACCGAAGAACCAAAAAAAAAGUCCACUACUUCCGUGCACACGGUGCUACAAAACGUGUUCUGUCAGCAGUUACGUUAUGUCAGCUGUAACAGCGACUAUGACAUCGUCUGUGCGUCUGACAAGCGAUAUUACUUCAACAGAUGCGAAUUGGCAAAGGUCCAGUGUAAGGAGCGAUCACUUUACGAGGCGGACUUCACAAGUUGCGGUGUCCAUCGCAUGUGAUGAAAUGGACAAAAGGAUACGAUUGACAUUGUAAAAAUCUCUACAUUUGACCGAAUGUAGUUUACUCACAAGGAUGAUUACUCGCAGGUUUUCACCGCACCCUCCCCCCAAAAAACUUGCCGCGACUCUCCGCGAUGUAAAAAAAAACAACACGUUAUGUCGGUACCACACCCGUUACUUUUA